rnacentral:rRNA from 1 species
GCGGUGGAUGAUGUGGUUAAUUCGAUAGCAACGCGAAAACCUUACCUACCCUUGACAUGUCCGGAAUCCGAAGAGAUUUGGGAGUGCUCGCAAGAGAACCGGAACACAGGUGCUGCAUGGCUGUCGUCAGCUCGUGUCGUGAGAUGUUGGGUUAAGUCCCGCAACGAGCGCAACCCUUGUCAUUAGUUGCCAUCAUUUGGUUGGGCACUCUAAUGAGACUGCCGGUGACAAACCGGAGGAAGGUGGGGAUGACGUCAAGUCCUCAUGGCCCUUAUGGGUAGGGCUUCACACGUCAUACAAUGGUCGGUACAGAGGGUUGCCAACCCGCGAGGGGGAGCUAAUCCCACAAAGCCGAUCGUAGUCCGGAUCGCAGUCUGCAACUCGACUGCGUGAAGUCGGAAUCGCUAGUAAUCGUGGAUCAGCAUGUCACGGUGAAUACGUUCCCGGGUCUU